rnacentral:sRNA from 1 species
AUUCUCCCGAUGCAGGGAAGGAUGAGAAGCUUCGACUAAGGUUCGAGUCGAGCGUCAGCGAGACAACGUUGCCGCAGGGUGAGGAGCGAAGCGACGAAUAAUCCUUCCCCACCACCA